CCUACGGGUGGCAGCAGUAGGGAAUAUUGCUCAAUGGGGGAAACCCUGAAGCAGCAACGCCGCGUGGAGGAUGAAGGUUUUCGGAUUGUAAACUCCUUUUGUUAGAGAAGAUAAUGACGGUAUCUAACGAAUAAGCACCGGCUAACUCCGUGCCAGCAGCCGCGGUAAUACGGAGGGUGCAAGCGUUACUCGGAAUCACUGGGCGUAAAGAGCGCGUAGGCGGGAUAGCAAGUCAGAUGUGAAAUCCUAUGGCUUAACCAUAGAACUGCAUUUGAAACUGUUAUUCUAGAGUAUGGGAGAGGUAGGUGGAAUGCUUGGGGUAGGGGUAAAAUGCGUAGAGAUCAAGAGGAAUACUGAUUGCGAAGGCGACCUGCUAGAACAUAUCUGACGCUGAUGCGCGAAAGCGUGGGGAGCCAACAGGAUUAGAUACCCUUGUAGUC
rnacentral:rRNA from 1 species